UGGUGUCCACGUCGAUAAUCGGGAACGGCGAAGGGGAAAAACCAAGGGCUUGUGCACUUUCGGGCGUCCUGACCAGAAAACAGGGCAGAACGACAGUUGGCCUUGCUGCAGCGAAACCGGCGAUGGCGGAGCGGCUACGGUGGCGGCUAACGGUGUCUAGAGGACGACGGAGAAGGAGAACUGACGAAGAAGCCAUGAGAAAAACAUGGCGGAUUUCUGUUGUCGAUCAGUGGAUGGCGGAUUUCUGUUGUCGAUCAGUGGUGGAGAAUCUUCUGGAACUCGGCCGAUCGAAUGAGAGAGACUGUGGAUCGUGGGCUGCGGCGAGGGAAAUUGUCUGGGCCGAGGCUUACUCUGAUGGGCCUAACGCGCGCAUUCGGGAAGAGGAAUACACGAACGGGAGCUCAGCAAGAGAGAAUUUCUCUGUUGGGUCAACCCAUUUCUAGAAGCGUCUCCAUCUUCACUCCCUCUGCGCCUCAGUCCCCCCGGCAGCCACCGCGCUCGUCCUCCAUCGCCGGCCACGACAACACUCAAUGCACUCAGCAAAGAUCACACAGGGUGGGGAGGCUCAAAGAUUUCUAAACGGCCAGAGAAUUAUCUCUCUUGGCUCCUUGCUUCGUCUGGUGACCUCCAACUGACCUCCCGGAUCGCUCCACCACCAGGCCGUAGCUCUGUCAGCACCGUUCUCCGGUCGUUUUACUUUGGCUGCUCUGAAUUUGUUCGUUUCUCCUUCGCUGGCUCCGAUCCUCAACGUCAUUGUCACGGACAACCUCUGCCUCUGAUCCGAUCGUCCUUCGUGCAUCGGAUAACAUAAACACUAUAAUCUUCCUUCUUCGUUCUUAGCUUCAUGAAGAGAGACCCAGCAUAUUUGUGUGAUUUUUGUUGUUCAAAUUCACUGCUGGCGUGUCAAUGCGCGCGCUAUAAGUGCUUUUUAUGAUCCAUCGCAUGAAGUGCUCACUGUGACAUGUUCAUAUUAAUAAUCUGAAUCAUAAAUCAACGUUCACUGCAAUGCGUGUUCGUCUGUUAGAUGGUCGAUUCUUGUUUAGUUCUCUGCCAAAAAUCUUGCAAACAUGAUUCCGUCUUCAUCUAUGUUACUUUGGCGGUUUCUGGAUUGAUGUUCCGUAAACUGUAUAAUCUCUUCUACUGGGAGGAGAAAGAAAUUCUCAGCAUUAUCUCCCGCAUGCUUAAAAUUUGUUCUCAUGUUUUUUACAUUGGAUCACCUGACCAUUGAAAUUAAUAUGAUUUCUUUUCUAUUGAUUGUGUGUUUGAUGAAUCCAAGUAACAAUCCAAGGUAAGUUUCGAUUGUCUGCAAUGUGAAUUUGGUGGCUGGGGAGGUUCCGCUGUGAAACGUUGGCCUCAGUUGUUCUGAAUGAAAGAAUACGUUUGCUUGAAUUGUCAGCUUAAUAAGGAAGAGAGUGACGCAGGCUACAGUUUGUUGUGAAAAAGAAACAAGCAACAAUUGCCGAGUUUCUGUUAUGUAGGAAAUGGAAGCGAAUUAGAAUAACUAAUGUGCUUUUGAGCAAUGAUGCUGAUUGCUGGAUUAUCUUUGUGAACAUAUGGUAUCUUUAUUUCUCUUUCGAACAUUUGGUAUUUGCUUCGCUCUCUUACUAGUAACCAGUGCUGCAAACUUCUUGGUUGAUUAAUUCCUCUUUCUGCAAAUGACUCUGGCCCCAGUUAUUGUCCACUUUCAGUAUAUGAGUCCUCAUUGUAAUUUGAGUACCGGUUGAUGUGAUACAGUCUUGUUGAUUCAUUUCUCAAUAUGUUUCCCAAAUGUUGCCUGUUGUAAAAAAUUUCAAAUAUUAAAUUCCAUCAGCCUCAGGUUUUUUUUUUUUUUUUUUUUAAUCAGAAUUUCGUGUUUGAAAGAGUGGUUUGUAUGAACUUGAUAUUUGCACUGGAUUAACUCGAACGAUAUUUUAUCAUAGAUAUGUAGAACAGAGUAUUUCUUUAGUUGGCUACAUUGUGACCUUUGUUGCUGAUAAAGUAGAUUGACUUGCUAGAAGGAAUUAGUGCUCUGUAAGUGCAGCCAAUUUUUUUGUUAAUUUCGCUGCUGGGUAUUAAUUAGUUCAUGGAAUGAUGCUCAUCAGAUUUGGUAGAUUCAAACAAUGGUAAAUAGACCAAGCAACAUCAGGAAAAGAUGAAAAAGCAUUUCUUAUUUGUCGAGAAUCAUCAUCAUUCUUUCUCUCAGCAGUGAGAGAUAUUGCAAAUAUCGUAGGGUACGAAUUGAAUGAAUAGGUAUCGCAGCUUUGGACUUGUCUGUCAAUCUUGGCUUAUCUCAUCAAUGGCCAAUGUUAUGCUGAUGUUUGAAUGAAUCCAAGCACUUAUCUUUAGUAGGCUUUGGAAUUUUCACAAUCUAUGGAUCCAACGAGUCUUAACAAUUGAUGUGUCAGGGAAUUUCUUACCUGUACCAGGUCCACUGGGCGGAGUCUAUGUCAGUGGUUGAUCAUCUAAGCCCCAUACGCAACAUUCAUGCGAGACUCACUUGAACAACUAUUGAAAUGGACCCAAUCUAAGCGAGCGCAGGCACCACCUUGUGGAAGCUAUGCUUUGGCUGAUGGCAUAAGAUGUGAAAAUUCUUUAAUCUCCGCCUUCUUUGCGCUUUUGCACUUUGGAUUUAGGUUGCAAUAAAUAAGUGCCCUGGACAUACUUUAAGUUAUGUUAAUGGGGGAUUAUGAAAAAGUUCUUAAGGAGAUACGGAAAUACUCUCCCAAAUUUGAUGCUUCCAAAGGUCAAAGUAGUUCAACCUGGGCAACUAGAAAAGAGUAACAAUGAGGUCAGAAUGUUAUGGAGCAUUACCCCAUUGGUCAUUUUCAUGUCAACCUUUUCAAAUGUGGAGAUAACUCCUUUUUCAGGUGAUAAUACUCGAUAAAGGUGCUUCCAAGAUAGAUUAUUCCUCAGGAUCAGUCUCAGACGACCUCUUCCUCUAAUCCGUUCGUCCUUCGUGCAUCGGUAAAAUAAACACUACAAUCUUCCUUUUCGUUCUUACUUCAUGAAGAGAGACUUCAGGCAUUUUUAUGUGAUUUUUGUUGUCAAAUUUACUGCUGGCAUGUCUAUAUACGUGCCAUAAGUGCUUUAUAUGAUCGUUGCCGGAAGUGCUCACUGUGAAGUGUUCAUAUUAACAAUUUGAAUCACAAAUCAAUGUUCACUGUAAUGCGUGUUUGUCUGUUAGAUGGUCGAUACUUGUUUAGUUCUUCCUGCCAAAAGUCUUGUAAAGAAGAUUCCGUCUUCAUCUAUGUUACUUUGAGAUCGCUGUGUAAGUUGCUCUCGUUGGCAGUUCUGGAUUAAUGUUUUAUAAAUUGUACAAUCUGUGCCACUGGCAGGCGAAAGAAAUCCUCGGCAUUAUCUCCUGCAUGCUUAAAAUUUAUUCUCAUGUUAUCUACAUUGGAUCAUCUGACCAUUGAGAUUAAUAUGAUUUCUUUUGUGUUUGAUGAAUCCAAGUAACAAUCCAAGGUAAGUUUCGAUUGUCUAGAAUGUGAAUUUGUUUGCUGGGCAGGUUCUUCUGUGAAACGUUGGCCUCAGUUAAUCUGAAUGAAGGAAUAUAAAGAGAGUGAUGCAGGCUAUAGUUUGUAGUGUAAAAGACACAAGCAACAAUUGCUGAAUUUCUAUUCUGCAGGAAAUGGAAGCGAAUUAGCAUAACAAAUGUGCUUUUGAGCAAUGAUGCUGAUUUCUGAUUAUCUUUGUGAACAUGUGGUAUCUUUAUUUCUCUUUUGAACGUUUGGUAUUUUCUCUGCUCUCUUUCUGGUAAACAGUACUGCAGACUCCUUGAUUGAUUAAUCCUUCUUUCUGCAAAUGAUUUUGGCCCCUGUUAUGGUCCGCUUUCAGUAUACGAGUCACAUUGUAAUUUGUGUACCUAGUGAUGUGAUAUGGUCUUGUUGAUUCAUUUUUCAAUAUGUUUCCCCAACGUUGCUUGUUGUAGAAAAUUUCAAAUAUUAAAUUCCAUCAGCCUCAGUUUUUUCCCUUUCUUUGUUGAUCAGAAUUCUGUGUUUGUAUGAGCUAGAUCUUUGCCCUGGAUCAACUCAAACGAUAUUUUAUCAUAGAUAUUUAGGAUGGAGUAUUUCCUUAGUUGGCUACUUUGUGGCUUUUGCCGCUGAAAGUACAUUGACUCGCUAGAAGGAAUUAGUGUUCUGUAAGUGCAGCCAAUUUUUUUGUUAAUUUUGCUGCUAGGUGUGAUGAUGUUCAUGGAAUGAAUGCUCAUCAGAUUUGGUAGAUUGAAACAAUGGUAAAUAGCCCAAGCAACAUCAGGAAAAGAUCAAAAAGCAUUUCUCAUUUGUUAGUCAUAAUCAUUCUUUCUCUCGGUAGUGAGAGAUGCUGCACAUAUCGUAGAGUAAGAAUUGAAUGAAGCGGUGUCGUAGUAUUGGACUUGUAUGUCAAUCUUGGCUUAUCUCAUCAAUAGCCAAUGCCGAUAUUUGAAUGAAUUCAAGCACUUAUUUUAAGUAGGCUUUGGGAUUUUCACAAUUUAUGGAUCCAAUGAGUCUUAACAAUUGAUGUGUUGGGGAAUUUCUUGCCUAUAACGGGUCCACUAGGCGGGGCUGUGUCAAUGGUUGAUCGUCUACGCCCCAUAUGCAACAUUAAUUUGAGACUCACAUGAACAGCUAUAGGAAUGGACCCAAUCUACACGUGCACAGACACUACAUGGAGGAAGCUAUUCUUUGGCUGACGGCAUAAAAUGUAUAAAUUCUCAAAAUCUCUGCCUUCUUUGCGCUUUUGCACUUUGGAUUUAGCUUGCGAUUAGUAAGGGCCCUGGACUUACUUUAAGUUGUGUUGAUUACGAAAAAGUUCUUGAGGAGAUAUGGCUAUACUCUCCCGAAUUCGAUGCUUCCAAAGGUCACAAGUAGUUCAACUUGGGCAACUAGAAAAGAGUAACGACGAGGCCGGAAUGUUAUGGAGCAUUAGCCCAUUGGUCAUUUUCAUCUCAACCUUUCUAAAUGUGGAGAUAACUCCACUUUUCAGGUGUUAAUACUUUAUAAAGGUGCUUCUAAGAUAGAUUAUUCCUCGAGUAAUGGCCAAAUAUCAAACCCUGAGGAUCAAUUUUUCUAACAAGAAAGGGAUGAUGUUGUUGAACUUGAAGAUUUAGAGGGUUUCCUGCAAUGUCGAUCGAUUUUACCCUGUUCUAGCGAAGUGAAACAAUUGGAGCUAUUUUGGGAAUUCUUCGCAACGAAACGGGAGCUCUACUGGAUGGCUCUACUACGAAUGUUCCAGCAUUGUCGGCGUUUUAGACGGAAGCCAUUCCCCUGCUCGAAGCUUUGAAACGUUUUCAGUCGAGGAGAGAGUGUGUUGGAGCUCGAGUCUGAAUGCGAAGAGCUGGUCAACGUUGUGCUGAUGAAGACAGCUCUAAUAGAGAAAGCCCAGCUCUCUUUGGCCCAAUUUUACUCUCUUUUUGGCCCAUUGUCACCGGUCCGCAAACAAAAUGGCUGAUUGGGUCGUGAAAAUCUAACGUACGAAUGCUCUCCCUCCCUCUUGAGUGGCCCAUCCCUCCAAUCUUUAUGGAAUUAUUUGCGUUUGGAUGCCCCUUUGGUGGGCUUUUGUUUUAAAGACCCCCGGGUUUUAAUUCAUGGCAUGUCUUCAAAUUUGAAAGCUUGACUCGUAUA